rfam:Triticum aestivum genome assembly, contig: Triticum_aestivum_CS42_TGACv1_scaffold_578768_7BL
UACAUACUCCCUCCGUCCGAAAAUACUUGUCAUUAAAAUGGACAAAAAGGAAUGUAUCUAAAACUAAAAUCCAUCUAAAUACAUCUCCUUUUAUUGAUUUUGGUGACAAGUAUUUCCGGACGAAGGGAGUAGAAA